UGGCUGAAUCGCCGCGGAGCCCGAUAGUUCAGGAUGGCCCGUGAGGCCAGGGGCGGUGGACUUGUGGCCAGUGGUUGGUUCAUGGUGCCUACCCUCACUUCCCCACAACCUUCCACGUCGUUCCCCGACCCUGCCCCGACGAUUGGACCUUCCCGUCCUCCCUCAGCUGCUUCAGCGCCGCCGACACCGUCCCGCCGUUCAGCUUCGUCGCAGCCACCAGUUCAUGGUUCGCCACUCGAUCCUUUCCGUUCAUGGCCUGCAACACGGCCUUGACCUGUGCGCCGGUGAGGGUGUCGAGUUCAUCCAUGCCAACCUCCAUCGACGGUGCAUCAGUUGUUUCCCGGUCUCGCGCGCCGUGGCGCUGGGCCGACGAUCACAAACCCCCGCGCUAUCCACGCAUCCCGCUCGUUCGCCAACUCCAACCCCGGCAAUCCUCCCUCUUGGAAGAUGAACCACUCGGGCUUCACGCUGCACU
rnacentral:misc_RNA from 1 species